AGUGAACGCUGGCGGUAGGCCUAACACAUGCAAGUCGAACGGCAGCACAGUAAGAGCUUGCUCUUACGGGUGGCGAGUGGCGGACGGGUGAGGAAUACAUCGGAAUCUACUUUUUCGUGGGGGAUAACGUAGGGAAACUUCCGCUAUUACCGCAUACGACCUACGGGGGAAAGCAGGGGAUCUUCGGACCUUGCGCGAUUGAAUGAGCCGAUGUCGGAUUAGCUAGUUGGCGGGGUAAAGGCCCACCAAGGCGACGAUCCGUAGCUGGUCUGAGAGGAUGAUCAGCCACACUGGAACUGAGACACGGUCCAGACUCCUACGGGAGGCAGCAGUGGGGAAUAUUGGACAAUGGGCGCAAGCCUGAUCCAGCCAUACCGCGUGGGUGAAGAAGGCCUUCGGGUUGUAAAGCCCUUUUGUUGGGAAAGAAAAGCAGCAGGUUAAUACCCCGCUGUUCUGACGGUACCCAAAGAAUAAGCACCGGCUAACUUCGUG
rnacentral:rRNA from 1 species